UACGGGGGGGGCAAGCGUUGUUCGGAAUUACUGGGCGUAAAGGGCUCGUAGGCGGCCAACUAAGUCAGACGUGAAAUCCCUCGGCUUAACCGGGGAACUGCGUCUGAUACUGCAUGGCUUGAGAUUGGGAGAGGGAUGCGGAAUUCCAGGUGUAGCGGUGAGAUGCGUAGAUAUCUGGAGGAACACCGGUGGCGAAGGCGGCAUCCUGGACCAACACUGACGCUGAUGAGCGAAAGCCAGGGGAGCAAACGGG
rnacentral:rRNA from 1 species